rnacentral:rRNA from 1 species
ACGAACGCUGGCGGCGUGCCUAAUACAUGCAAGUAGAACGCACAGUUUAUACCGUAGCUUGCUACACCAUAGACUGUGAGUUGCGAACGGGUGAGUAACGCGUAGGUAACCUGCCUGGUAGCGGGGGAUAACUAUUGGAAACGAUAGCUAAUACCGCAUAAUAUUGAUUAUUGCAUGAUAAUUGAUUGAAAGAUGCUAUUGCAUCACUACCAGAUGGACCUGCGUUGUAUUAGCUAGUAGGUGAGGUAACGGCUCACCUAGGCGACGAUACAUAGCCGACCUGAGAGGGUGAUCGGCCACACUGGGACUGAGACACGGCCCAGACUCCUACGGGAGGCAGCAGUAGGGAAUCUUCGGCAAUGGACGAAAGGCUGACCGAGCAACGCCGCGUGAGUGAAGAAGGUUUUCGGAUCGUAAAGCUCUGUUGUAAGAGAAGAACGGGUGUGAGAGUGGAAAGUUCACACUGUGACGGUAUCUUACCAGAAAGGGACGGCUAACUACGUG